UGAAUACAGGGGCAGACAUCUGAUCACGCUGAACCCAGAGGCAGGCUUGGUGAAUUUUGGAGCUGCCCAUGUGCCAGUGUCAUUGUACUUGAUUAACAAGAGACACUACUGCAAGAGCAUCUUUUGGGACUGUUCAAUUUAAGAAGAUGAGGAUGUGCUCUGUAUGAUAAAGAC
rnacentral:lncRNA from 1 species